rnacentral:rRNA from 1 species
CCUACGGGCGGCAGCAGUGGGGAAUAUUGCACAAUGGGGGAAACCCUGAUGCAGCGACGCCGCGUGAGCGAUGAAGUAUUUCGGUAUGUAAAGCUUUAUCAGCAGUGAAGUAAAUGACGGUACCUGACUAAGAAGCACCGGCUAACUACGUGCCAGCAGCCGCGGGAAUACGUAGGGGGCAAGCGUUAUCCGGAUUUAAUGGGUGUAAAGGGAGCGUAGACGGUCCUGCAAGCCAGAUGUGAAAGCCCGGGGCGCAACCCCGGGACUGCAUUUGGAACUGUAAGGCUAGAGUGUCGGAGAGGCAGGCGGAAUGUCUAGUGUAGCGGUGAAAUGCGUAGAUAUUAGGAGGAACACCAGUGGCGAAGGCGGCCUGCUGGACGAUGACUGACGUUGAGGCUCGAAAGCGUGGGGAGCAAACAGGAUUAGAUACCCCAGUAGUC